AGUAAACCACUUGACCGAACACUUACUACAAAGCUCAAUUAGAAAGCCCAGGGGACUACACAUUGCACGACCACCAUAAUCUCGUUCCUUUUAAUUGCUCUGUUUUUCAUGGGAAAAAGCUACCAUUAGACGUGUGUGUACGCUACCUAAUAAGAGCAUCUUUGUGUUUGACUUGAGAUUAUUAAGUUUGUUGAUUGCAUUGGCAGUCGGAUUUUUGGGGAUUGCGCUUAUCGUG
rnacentral:lncRNA from 1 species